AAAGUUAUCAUGACCUACAUGUAAAGAAAUUGUGUAACUCCUGGCACACAAUAAGUGAUCAAUAGAAGUUUUUAAGGGAAAUAACUAUGUCAAAAUGACGUAUAGCUCUCAGAAGAUAGAUGUGGGAAACUACCUUCAAAGACAUUUCCAUGCCAGUGACUGUGGCCCAGUCUGAGGAGACAGGUGUCCUCUUAUUUCCACACCCAGGCUUCAACAUGCCAGCCACCCACUGCUGUGGAACUGUUGAGAACACUUGAGACACAUGGUUCUUCAGAAUGAGAUAAAGAGCUGGAAAAAAUUUAUAAAUUAUUAGAUCUAAAAUGAACCCAUGGAGAUUAUACUGCUGCCAGGUUCUAGAAUCUAGCUCAAACUAUGCAUUUGACUGAUGAGUUACAUUAAUGAGGCUCUGACAGAUUACUCAAGGAUGCCCUGUGACAUCUCAAGGGUCACCCAGCUGGUUGUGGUUUAGGCAGAACUAAGAGUUACAUCUUCUUUUAACACAGUUUUUCGUAACUGUGGAGUGUUUGAGUACUUCAGUUCUCAACUUCUGUGAUGCUGUCAGCUAUUAUUCUAUUUAUCUUAAAAGUCUCAAUAUUGGCAAUAUGACUUCCUUAAAGGCCAGAAUUGCUAAAGAAUUAGGAAAAUGAUUUAAUUUGCCAUGAAAAAGAUGUGACUAUUAACACCUCUUAGGGACUUUCUUUCCUCUAUUAGGCUUUCAAAAAUGUAAAAUGUAUUCAUUAUUCAAAUGUGCUAUGUGAAGGUGCUUGGGAAUUAGUAUGCUUAAAUUCUAUGUCAUUGCCCUAGGUCUCUUUAUGCAGUGCUUGGACUCUAUGCAGUCUUUGGAGGGGAGAGAAAAGAGAUGGGAAUUAUGGAAUGGUCAAUGGAUGACGAGCUAGUUCUUUUGCAAUUAAGAUUCAUAAAAACAAGAUGGAACUGCUUCCUGUUUUAUAUUUUGCCCAGUUAAUUACGUAUGUUCCCAAUUUAUAAUCUAACAUAAUGUAUAGAAUUUUUCAGAAAGGAGGGAGCCUUAGAGACCAUUAAGUCAAAAGUUGGAAGAAAGGAGACUAACUGAAUAUCAUCCCCUGUAGGAAGAUAAGAUGCUAAUUUUUAGAGGCACUCAGCCUCUAAAAUCAAUUUUUCUUAACAUUGAGAAUUAUUGAGUGGCUGGAAAAGCAUCUUACUCUAUGAAAUAUAGUCACUGUUUAGUGCCUUUCCAUUUUAUUUACUAUUUAAAGCAUACAACAGCUAGUUAACCAA
rnacentral:lncRNA from 1 species